rnacentral:rRNA from 1 species
GACGAACGCUGGCGGCGUGCUUAACACAUGCAAGUCGAGCGGUAAGGCCCUUUCGGGGUACGACGAGCGGCGAACGGGUGAGUAACACGUGGGUGACCUGCCCUCAGCUCUGGGAUAAGCCUGGGAAACCGGGUCUAAUACUGGAUAUGACUCCAUGACGCAUGUUGUGGGGUGGAAAGCCUUGUGCGGCUGAGGAUGGGCCCGCGGCCUAUCAGCUUGUUGGUGGGGUGAUGGCCUACCAAGGCGACGACGGGUAGCCGGCCUGAGAGGGCGACCGGCCACACUGGGACUGAGACACGGCCCAGACUCCUACGGGAGGCAGCAGUGGGGAAUCUUGCGCAAUGGGCGAAAGCCUGACGCAGCGACGCCGCGUGAGGGAUGACGGCCUUGGUUGUAACU